AUUGAACGCUGGCGGAAUGCUUUACACAUGCAAGUCGAACGGUAGAGGGGGCAACCCCUCGAGAGUGGCGAACGGGUGAGUAAUAUAUCGGAACGUGCCCAGUCGUGGGGGAUAACGUAGCGAAAGUUACGCUGAUACCGCAUACGAUCUAAGGAUGAAAGCGGGGGAUCGCAAGACCUCGCGCGAUUGGAGCGGCCGAUAUCAGAUUAGGUAGUUGGUGGGGUAAAGGCUCACCAAGCCAACGAUCUGUAGCUGGUCUGAGAGGACGACCCGCGACACUGGAACUGAGACACGGUCCAGACUCCUACGGAGGCAGCAGUGGGGAAUUUUGGACAAUGGACGCAAGUCUGAUCCAGCCAUUCCGCGUGCAGGAUGAAGGCCCUCGGGUUGUAAACUGAUGUUGUACGGAACGAAAAGGUCUCUCUUAAUACGGGGGGCUCAUGACGGUACCGUAAGAAUAAGCACCGGCUAACUACGUGCCAGCCGCCGCCGUAA
rnacentral:rRNA from 1 species